GAGAGCUCCUCCCUGUGUCUCGGCUGCUCCACCUCCCUUCGCUUCCACUGGAAACAAGAAAAUUGCCAAGUAAUUGCUCUUUGACAACCCCUGCUGGUCUCGCCUUUCUUUCUUGCUGAGAUUAUAAUUAGAGAAUCAGUAAAUUUAAAUAGAAAAUCCAUGAGCAGCACAGAGCCUUCACCUUUCAAACGCUGUUUCGUGUACCCUGUGAGUGGCACUUGCACCCUGUGCAGGCAGCGCUGGCAGGGCGAGGCCAGAGUCAGGUGGGGACAGGAAGCUGGGCGCAGAGCCCCCGCAAAGGUGCAGGAGCAGCAGCAGCAGCGUGGGUGGUAGGUGAGCACUUGCUGUGCCCCAGAGGCUGGGCUGUGUGUUUUCUAAGCCUGGUCUUAUUACAUCCACUCUUGGUAAUGGCACCUGUCUUAUUCCCAUUUUACAGAUGAGGAAACUAAGGCUCAGAGAGACAGUGACUUGCUCAAGGUCACACAGCUAGGAUGGGACAAGACCGGAAUUGAAGCCCCACAUGUGUGCACUCUCAGCCUCUGUGUUUUAUCCUGAAGUGUGACUGCUUUCCACUGGGCUGGGGGCCUAAAGACCAGAUCCAGGGUCCAUGGGUCCAAACAGGGCUGGAAGAGAGGAAGAGAACUCUGUGUGUCCUGGGAGCUUGGCUUCUUGCUGCACUGAGAACAGCGCUCCCUACCCUGGUCCCUGAAAUGGCCUGUCUGGGCCCAAGGACCCGUGACACCACCUCCAUGUCUGUCUUCGUGAUGAGGAAUCAGAGGCCUCAGAGAAAGAAAAAUGACUUUUCCCAGGAUGCCUGUGCCAGCUACUGACCCAUGCAAUCAGGACUGGGUGCUUUCUGAUGCCAUCCCAGAGCAGGGAUGGGCUCGUCCAGACAGAAAGCCAAAUCAUAGGUGGGUGGGGAGGGAAAGGAAGCUUGUUUCUUGGUUGCCAGUGAUGUGUUGGCUGCUAAAGGGAAGGGCUCAGGGGCCACAUCUUAGCAGCUUUGUCUUUCUCAGCCAUAUGUAAAAAGUGAGAAUGUCUGGAGUUCCCUUGUGGGUUAAGAACCGGGCGUUGUCCCUGUGGCAACACGAGUGGCUGCUGUGGGGUGUGGGUUUGAUCCCUGGCUCAGGAACUUCCGCAUGCCACAGACCCAGCCAAAAAUAAGAGUGAGGCUGUUUGUGGUCCUUCGCUCAUGCGUUCAGUGCGUGCCAGUUACAAGAAGAAACCAUCACUUGUUUCCUUGUCGAAUAAUGUACUAAUAUGAUUCAUAAUAUUAUAACAGCACUGUGGGGUAGGAAUACUUCGACUUUCCAGAUGAGAGAACCAAGGCUCACAGAGGUUAGGGAACGAGGCUCAGCCACGGAGCUGGUCAGUGGCAGAUCCUGGGUUCCAGCUGGGGGUUGCAUGGUCCAGGGCUUGCUUCUGUGUCUAACACUUCAGCUCCAGCUGGCAGGGUGGCGUCAGGAGGACAGGGAUAUUGAGCAGAUAGGGGACAUGAGGCACUCCACACAGGUCAGCCUUUGACCUGGGCCUCCAGGGUGAGUGAGUUUCGGUGCCCGGACUACCAUAGUUUUCAACCACAGAAAAAUCCAGAAGGUAUAAGUUGCCCUGUAGGCCAGGGGCAAGGGCUCUGGGACCUUGCUGCUUAGCUGGUCCUAGUUCUUAUGGAACUUUCCCAGAUCACUAGUCACUUGCUGUGGGGGUGCUUUCCUUAGUAGUAGAGAAGGACAAAUUCCUCUUAAAUAACUUUUCCUUCUUUUCAAAUCUUAUUUGUGACUUUUAAAAAUAUUCAAGAACUGGCACACUUUUUUUUUUUUUCUUUUUUGGCUGCACCCAGGGCAUAUGGAAGUUCCUGGGGCCAGGGAUGGAGUCCGAGGCUCAGCUGCGGCAAUGCCAGACCCUUAACCCACUGCACCACAGCGGGAACUCCAAGAAUUGUCACACUGUUUCUUUCUCUUGACCCUUUUGAGUUUUGGUCUUUUCCCUCUCUCAUCUCUGUCUCUCUGGCUGUCUCGGUGUCGUGCUUCUGUCUCUCUCUCUUGGCUUGAGAACACUGAGUACGUGGAUCCUGACAUCGGGGGAAACGUAGCCCUCCUGCUGUCCCACACCGCCUUCCCCAAGCCCCUCUACUCAGGGCUCAGUGGCCACCUGGGCCCAGCGCCAGCUGAGCACAGUGGCGAGGGCAUCAUUUUAAGGAUUGCUGUCAUUUUCCCCAGCCUCAGAAACUCUUAGCUAAGCCUCCCACCUCACGUUCCUAAAUGUAAAUAAACACAUGCCCAGCUGGGAAAAGCAAGAUCGUACACUGGCUGUGUUUCUGCAGAGCAGUGCUUCUUAACCCACUGUUCAGCUUCCUGCCUGGAGUGGGCAGAGAGGAGAGAAGAGAGAGGACCAGGAGAGUGGGAGGAAAAAGAGAACAAGCAGAAGGCAGGGGAGAACGAGAGAAGGGGGACCGAGGGGGAGGAGAGGCUGAGGGAAGCCCCCACGAGAGCCACUCCCACCUCUUUGAUACCCCAGGUAGAGUAAUGAGGUUUCCCAUUUUGCUGACAAAUAAACUGAGGCUGCGGGAAACUCAAUGUCAGUACUAGGAGAGGGCAGAAUGUCCUCCACAGUUAACAACGGUGCGGCAAGGGCAGGGAGACAGGGAGUUUCUGAGCUCCCUAAACCCCAGGAACUAUAAACCACAUUCUGCAUCAUCUCUCUUCCUGCUGGCAGAACAGAACUGGCCUCCGAGUCCAAACCCGCUGUUCUGCUGAUCUAGCUUUGUGCGGCAGAUGCAUUUGGGGCUUCUGCCGUUUCCCUGAGAAACAGUGUAUUUCCUGGGGAGUGAAUGCCAUCAUUGACUCUUGUCCUUUUCAGUGUUGGGGUCCACCCCACGAGGAACACCUGGACCCCACUUUGCUCAAGAGGAAAGAUCAUGCAGUGAUGUCAUAACCUUAGCGGGAAACAGUCGCCACAUAGGAUCUAAGCAGGGGCCAAGGGUGUCGAUGAAGCAUUCUGGAGAAGCCACACGGGUUUUUUUCCCCAGCCUCACCAUAUAAGGGACAGAGGCGAGCCCAGCCUUUCCGCCUCUGAGCACAUGCCUGUGCGUCUCCUGGCACCACUCACAGCACCGGUGAUGCUCGAAGCAGCAGCAUCAAGAUCUUCGCAACAUCAGGCCGGCCAAGGGCUCAGAGGCGAAUCUGGCUUUCAGCCUUUCUGCCACCAUUUGCUAGGGCCCAUCUCCUCUGGCUGUGGACCGGGAGGUGGGGAGGGGACAAGGGAGCAAGGUGGCUCUGCCCUCUGCCAGGGUAAGCACACGAAAACUGCACUUAAUCCAGGGGCCCAGGAGCUCAUUCAGUUUCAUUUCUUGAGUUUCAGGUUAUCUGAGUGGAAACCCUCCUUAGCUCCUUGCCUUGGGAGUGGAGGGAUCUUUCUGAGACAGCACAGCCUUGGCACUGAACUUGGAAAAGUCAGUGGUCAGGACUCUGAACUCAGAAUGACCCGACGGGUACCCAUGCCAGAACCCACGCAGUAAAACCUUUUCUUUUCUC